GGAGAGGUGCCAGAGUGGUUGAAUGGAGCUGACUGCUAAUCAGUUGAACGGUGCAAAUCGUUCCUCGGGUUCGAAUCCCGGCCUCUCCG
rfam:Omnitrophica WOR_2 bacterium RIFOXYA2_FTLL_38_17 rifoxya2_full_scaffold_416, whole genome shotgun sequence.